AUGCGACGCUGGCGGCGUGCCUAUACAUGCAAGUCGAGCGGACAGAAGGGAGCUUGCUCCCGGAUGUUAGCGGCGGACGGGUGAGUAACACGUGGGUAACCUGCCUGUAAGACUGGGAUAACUCCGGGAAACCGGAGCUAAUACCGGAUAGUUCCUUGAACCGCAUGGUUCAAGGAUGAAAGACGGUUUCGGCUGUCACUUACAGAUGGACCCGCGGCGCAUUAGCUAGUUGGUGGGGUAAUGGCUCACCAAGGCGACGAUGCGUAGCCGACCUGAGAGGGUGAUCGGCCACACUGGGACUGAGACACGGCCCAGACUCCUACGGGAGGCAGCAGUAGGGAAUCUUCCGCAAUGGACGAAAGUCUGACGGAGCAACGCCGCGUGAGUGAUGAAGGUUUUCGGAUCGUAAAGCUCUGUUGUUAGGGAAGAACAAGUGCGAGAGUAACUGCUCGCACCUUGACGGUACCUAACCAGAAAGCCACGGCUAACUACGUGCCAGCAGCCGCGGUAAUACGUAUGUGGCAAGCGUUGUCCGGAAUUAUUGGGCGUAAAGGGCUCGCGGCGGUUUCUUAAGUCUGAUGUGAAAGCCCCCGGCUCAACCGGGGAGGGUCAUUGGAAACUGGGAAACUUGAGUGCAGAAGAGGAGAGUGGAAUUCCACGUGUAGCGGUGAAAUGCGUAAAGAUGUGGAGGAACACCAGUGGCGAGGCACUCUCUGGUCUGUAACUGACGCUGAGGAGCGAAGCGUGGGGGAACGAAAGGAUAAAUCCCUG
rnacentral:rRNA from 1 species